CGUCCAUUUGACUCAGAGUUUGGUACCAUAGGUUGGUACGAUCUUCGUUGGAGAAGGAAAAGGGAUGUUCCAGAUACAGAAAAUAAUCAAACCAUUUACUACAAAGUCCGUUUCUGGGUGGAGUUAGUGGAACCGAAAAAGAUGUCUCCCUCACAGCGUUUGUGACAAGAGAAUUGCAUUGUUCCUUGGCGGCCUUUCAACAGAAGAAUAUUCAGAGAUUUCACGAGUGUCAUUUUGUAUAGACCACAAACAGCAGAGGUCCCAGCACAGAUCCCUGCGGAACACCAAUCGUCCUGGAUCUACAGCCUGAAAAGCACCAUUCCACCUCUUGCCUCUGUCUUCUCUGGGCAAGCCAGUUGUGAAUCCAAGCAUCCAAGCCACCAUUGACUCGGUGCAUCUUAAUUUUCUGGAUGAUCCUAU